GGCUCAGGAUGAACGCUAGCGGGAGGCCUAACACAUGCAAGCCGAGCGGUAGAGAUUCUUCGGGAUCUUGAGAGCGGCGCACGGGUGCGGAACACGUGUGCAACCUGCCUUUAUCUGGGGGAUAGCCUUUCGAAAGGAAGAUUAAUACCCCAUAAUAUAAUGAACGGCAUCGUUUAUUAUUGAAAACUCCGGUGGAUAGAGAUGGGCACGCGCAAGAUUAGAUAGUUGGUGAGGUAACGGCUCACCAAGUCAAUGAUCUUUAGGGGGCCUGAGAGGGUGAUCCCCCACACUGGUACUGAGACACGGACCAGACUCCUACGGGAGGCAGCAGUGAGGAAUAUUGGACAAUGGGUGAGAGCCUGAUCCAGCCAUCCCGCGUGAAGGACGACGGCCCUAUGGGUUGUAAACUUCUUUUGUAUAGGGAUAAACCUUUCCACGUGUGGAAAGCUGAAGGUACUAUACGAAUAAGCACCGGCUAACUCCGUGCCAGCAGCCGCGGUAAUACGGAGGGUGCAAGCGUUAUCCGGAUUUAUUGGGUUUAAAGGGUCCGUAGGCGGACUCGUAAGUCAGUGGUGAAAUCUCAUAGCUUAACUAUGAAACUGCCAUUGAUACUGCGGGUCUUGAGUAAAGUAGAAGUGGCUGGAAUAAGUAGUGUAGCGGUGAAAUGCAUAGAUAUUACUUAGAACACCAAUUGCGAAGGCAGGUCACUAUGUUUUAACUGACGCUGAUGGACGAAAGCGUGGGGAGCGAAC
rnacentral:rRNA from 1 species